GUUUCAGUCUUCAAGCCUGUCAAGCAAGGAUGUUUGACAAGGUCUGAAAGGGGAUUAAGACUGCAGAAGAUCCCUUGAUUUUUGAGUUCUGCCACCUGGCCUAAUAGGAGAUAUUAACUCCUCUCUACACCUUACGUCAUAGAUGGAUACAUAACAAUGCUUUCGGUUCUAAGGAAUCACAAUAAAGCUGUCAUCCUCUUUUAAAUUUUGGAAGAGUAAAAACACUGGAAGAAACCCUAAAGAGAAAGAAAUAUCAAGGAUAUCUUGAAUUCCCUCCAUCCCACCUGAUUGACAUGAGAUUUUUUAGGAACAUUCACAUUUUGGGCAAGACUAACUGUAAUUCCUUCAGGACAUCGACAGUAGCUGUGUAACUGAAUUCUGUGAACACUUUGCAAAGCUUUAAGUUUUAUUCUGCAGCUUUCUCAGUAUUAAUAGUAUUUAGGUUUAUUCUUGUUCUCUCAUGCCCCAUUAAUGGUCAUUGUUUCUAAGAAUAAAAAAAUACCUGACAUUUACACACCAGUAUUGACACAAAGUUUAUCAUUCAUCAGUUUAAAUUUUAAAAAUCAAGAGGAAGGGAACUUGUCUAUACUACCACUUUUUUUUUUAUUUAUUUAUUUUUCUGUGAAUAAAAGGUAAUUGAAUAAUGGUAUCCUGCUGUCAGGUGAGAUGACGCCCUUUCCUGCAAUACUAUUUAUCUGUGGAGUUGCUUCAUGGGUCCAGAUGGCACCAGGCAGCUUGGUAGCCUUCAUUAAAUGCUGUUGUGAAAUACAA